GGAGUCUGGGCCGUAUCUCAGUCCCAAUGUGGCCGUUCAACCUCUCAGUCCGGCUACUGAUCGUCGCCUUGGUGAGCCUUUACCUCACCAACUAGCUAAUCAGACGCGAGCCCAUCCUUCAGCGAUAAAUCUUUGAUCCCAGGUAGAUGCCUCCCCGGGAUGUCAUGCGGUAUUAGCAGAAGUUUCCCUCUGUUGUCCCCCUCUGAAGGGCAGGUUGCUCACGCGUUACUCACCCGUCCGCCACUGUCCUCUAUUUCCGUUGUCCGAAAACUCCUUCCAUAGAUUCUCGUUCGACUUGCAUGUGUUAGGCACGCCGCCAGCGUUCGUCCUCGAGCCACGGAUCAAACUCU
rnacentral:rRNA from 1 species